AUUGAACGCUGGCGGCAUGCUUUACACAUGCAAGUCGAACGGUAACAGGCCGCAAGGUGCUGACGAGUGGCGAACGGGUGAGUAAUGCAUCGGAACGUGCCCAGUCGUGGGGGAUAACUACUCGAAAGAGUAGCUAAUACCGCAUACGAUCUAUGGAUGAAAGCGGGGGACCGUAAGGCCUCGCGCGAUUGGAGCGGCCGAUGUCAGAUUAGGUAGUUGGUGGGGUAAAGGCUCACCAAGCCAACGAUCUGUAGCUGGUCUGAGAGGACGACCAGCCACACUGGGACUGAGACACGGCCCAGACUCCUACGGGAGGCAGCAGUGGGGAAUUUUGGACAAUGGGCGCAAGCUUGAUCCAGCAAUGCCGCGUGCAGGAAGAAGGCCUUCGGGUUGUAAACUGCUUUUGUACGGAACGAAACGGCUCUGGUUAAUACCCGGGGCUAAUGACGGUACCGUAAGAAUAAGCACCGGCUAACUACGUG
rnacentral:rRNA from 1 species